rnacentral:rRNA from 1 species
UUGGAGGGCAAGUCUGGUGCCAGCAGCCGCGGUAAUUCCAGCUCCAAUAGCGUAUAUUAAAGUUGUUGCAGUUAAAAAGCUCGUAGUUGAACUUCGGGAUCAAUGGAUUGGUCAUGCCGUUGGUAUGUACUGGUCAUAUUGGUUCUCACCUUCUAAGGAACCAUAAUGUCAUUCAUUUGAUGUUUUGGGGAAUUAGGACUGUUACCUUGAAAAAAUUAGAGUGUUUAAAGCAGGCUAACGCUUGAAUACAUUAGCAUGGAAUAAUGAAAUAGGACAUCGCAUUCUAUUUUGUUGGUUUCUAGGAUCGAUGUAAUGAUUAAUAGGGAUAGUUGGGGGCAUUAGUAUUCAAUUGUCAGAGGUGAAAUUCUUGGAUUUAUUGAAGACUAACUACUGCGAAAGCAUUUGCCAAGGAUGUUUUCAUUAAUCAAGAACGAAAGUUAGGGGAUCGAAGACGAUCAGAUACCGUCGUAGUCUUAACCAUAAACUAUGCCGACUAGGGAUCGGAUGAUGUUAAUUUUUUAAUGACUCAUUCGGCACCUUACGGGAAAC